rnacentral:rRNA from 1 species
AUUGAACGCUGGCGGCAUGCCUUACACAUGCAAGUCGAACGGCAGCACGGGUGCUUGCACCUGGUGGCGAGUGGCGAACGGGUGAGUAAUGUAUCGGAACGUACCAUUCAGUGGGGGGAUAACGUAGCGAAAGUUACGCUAAUACCGCAUAUUCUCUGAGGAGGAAAGUAGGGGAUCGCAAGACCUUACGCUGAUUGAGCGGCCGAUAUCGGAUUAGCUAGUUGGUGAGGUAAAGGCUCACCAAGGCGACGAUCCGUAGCUGGUCUGAGAGGAUGAUCAGCCACACUGGAACUGAGACACGGUCCAGACUCCUACGGGAGGC